UCAGAGUUCAGAGGUGGGCCGGGAAGGAGGCCGGGCUAGUGCCAAGUCUCCGGUCCUUAAAGGUGCCGUGGUACCCGAGCCCCAGCCCGGUUACUGCCCAGUCCUGUCGCCAGCCUCGCUUUAGCUGCCGUCCUUGAGGAAAACGUGGCCCCGCUUCAACGCAAACGUGUAAUGUUGACAGGAGAGAGCACAGACGGUAUGAAGAAACCAAGGUUCCUGGGAGUUGAAUUACAUCACCAAGUAUGGAUUUGAGAGCUGUCUUAUUUUAAACACAUCAUGGAGAAUAAAGGAAGUUAAGAGGAGACGCGGCCACAGGUGAAAUAGAAUAACCAUUGGACUCGCCUGUUUGCACUAAGGAACUUCUGGUAGGUUCCGAGGAGAAAUUGACAUCCCUUGGGCAUCGGGACAAGGGAUGGAGAAUGCUUUGUGUACCUUCCAUUGCUCAGUGGGCCUCUAGUUGUAGUAGAUGUUUAACAAAUAUGUGUGGAAAGAAUGAAUGAUGCCUGGCAAUCACGCUGUGUUUCUUCAAACCAGUAACUGAAGUCCACCGAAUCAUGUUUCAAAGACAUGAGCCAUUAUCACAUUUCACCACUUACCCCUGUAGUUCUCAGCCUGGUAUCGUUCUAACAUUUACAAAGUCAUCUCACCAUGUUUACCUCUGUGUCAAGGUUUAGUUUACUCUGAGGAUUCUCUCUCCAACUUCGUUAGAAACCCACUGGUACGUAUUCUCAUCUUCAUUAAGGGACAAAGCAGGGUGCAAGGAGCCCAGUGCGUUCCCCGGAAAAUAAAAUGGAGAUGGGCGCCCGGCAUGGUCCCAGAAAUAAAUCCACGACCGCGCAGUCUUCUGUCAUCUAAGCAGACACUCAUCUGUGUAUCUCUAUGAUUAUAGUUGAAUUGGCCUCUAGGCUUCUGUAACUUUUCAGCUUAUGUGGGAACAGAAGUUGUCCUCUGCCCAAGAGGGUCGGAACCAGAGAUCACAACCCCAGGUAGCCCCUCAGGCAGUCGAUGGCCCCGAUUCCUCUGACCAAGGAUUCUUGCCUUUCUUUUCCAGCUCUACUCUUACCCCCUCAUUCCUUGCUUUCCUUCAACUUUUCCAGCCCCUUCUCCUACUCCAUUCCUCUUGCUCUGCCUCUCCUUCUGUCCACCCUCUUCCAUCCUACUCCCAGAGAUCCUUCCCUCCCCACUCAUCCUGUUUCCUUGCCUCACUGGGCAGGGCAGUGCUGGGACCACCACCACGAAGCCCUGACGUCAUAGGUCGGAACACGGAGAGCCCAGAGCAGGGGUUCUUAACUGAUGAGCCAUAAAUGAGCUCCAGGAGUCCCGCGAACCCUUGGACAUUACGUACAAAAGUUGGCCGUAGGCACUACCUGCCGUUAUUUUUGGAGCAGGGUCUAUGACGUUCAUCAGAGUCUCAAGGGAUUUCAAAACCCAAAAAAGGUAACAUCAAGUAGGCUUGGAUUGUCAAGUAAAGUAAAUGGUACUCUAAAGUAAGCAUCUUUUUUUUUUUUUGUCACUUUACUUUAAAGUAAACCUUACCACUUGGUCUGGAGAAACCAGGUGGCUCUUAGCAGAUGAGAUUUUCUAGGAAUAUCCGCCUAUAUUUCCUGAAUGGAGCAAGCUACCAGAUUGUCAACAGCGCAUUAGGACGGACUAUUGAAUGAUGGUCAAUCUAAUUUCAAUAUCAGGGCUAAAGAGCUGCAGAUACCGACCCUUGAAAGCAAAGCAAAAGGGAGGGGUGGGAAUCUGUCACGGAACAUUGACAUUGUUGCCUUGAUCAAGGCACUGGGAAUAUAGUGGUAGUAAGACAAACUGGAUUCCCUGAAUUCAUUGAAUUCUAGUGUAAGAAGCAAAUAAAUAUAUGAGCUCAGAGACUCGUAAAUGCUAUGAAUGAAAGAAAGCAGGGUAACGGAACAUGGUACUGGGCAGGCAACAUCAAACAGGGUGGUCAGAGAAGAGCUUUCUCAGAAGCCGACAUUGGGGUUAAUCUUGAGUGGUGACAACCCAGAGAUGGGUAGGUCCUGGGAAAGAGCAAUUGGGCGGGUGGGGUAGGAAGCGGGAAACAACAAAUGCAAAGGGCUUGAGCUUGGAUUUGAACUUGAAGCAAAGAAAACCAGAGACACUGGAGCAUAGUAAGUAAGAGAAGAAAAGGAUACAAUGAUGACAUCAGAGUGGAGAACAGAGACCAGAUAAUGUACAGAAUUUCAGGCCAAGGUAAGGACUUGGGAUUUUAUACAAACCCACAUUUGAAACCCACCGGAGCAUACUAAGCAGGUGAGCGAAGGUAAACAUUUAUUUAAUGAAGAUUUGUUUGACAACCUACUGUAUACGAGUCAUUUCCUAGUCAUGAGGGUCUAUGCCAGGCCCGGCCUCUGCUCUCAUGGAACUUACAUUCGAGUGAAACAAAUUAAAUGAACCCAGCAACAGGCAAACACCAGGGAAUGAUAAAUUUUAUAAAGAAGAUGAAGUCAAAAAGUGCGGCGGAAAGUGACCUGCAAGCUACUAUAGACUGAGUCCAGGAGAAAUGGCCAACACAGUGGCCCCAACUGAGAAACAAAUGCGCUAGAAUGUUUGAGGUAAGAACCAAAGACAGAGGGGCAAGAUGGGGAGAGUGGUUCAAGACUGAGGUCAAAGAAGAAAUAAAACAGUAGGUAAGGUUUAGAUUAAGAAAAUGAAAAGGCAUUGGAGGAUUUUAAACACGAUGUCUUCAUCUGUUUGAGCUGCUAUAGCAAAACACCAUAAAUGGGGCGGCUUCUAAGAAAUAGAAAUUUCUCUCUCCCAGUCCUGGAGCUGAAAGUUCAAGAUCAAGGCACAGGCAGUGUCCAUGUCUGGUAAGCGCUUGCUUCCUGGUUUAUAGGCGGCUGUCCUCUCAUUGUUCUUCCCAUGGCGGAAGGGAUGAGGGGGCUCCGCGGGGGUCUCUUGUGAGAGCACACAUCUCAUUCAUGACAGUUUCACACUCAUCACCUAAGCAUCUCCCAAGGCCCCACGUUCAAAUACUAUCACGUUGAGCAUUAGGUUUCAAUGUCUGAACUUUGGAGGGACACAAACAUUCAGUAUUAACACUGGAGAACAACAUCCACUGACUUUUACUCUAAAAGUAUAAUGGGCUUCAAUGCAGAGAAUGGAUUGCUAGGGUGGAGAUGGGGUUGAGAGGAAGCUGUUUAAGAAAGUACAGUGGUAACUUAGGCCCCAAAUGACGGUACCUUGGACAAGUACCGUCGUACUAGACAAGGUCGAAAGGAUUAGAUUUGGGAUCUUUCUUUUGUAGGUAAAGCCGACGGGACUCUCUAGAGGCUAUGACGUAGAAGGAAGAGGAGGACAAGGAAUUAAACUUCUGGAUUUUGGUUUGACCAGUUAAAUAAAUGGUACACCACUUACUGUGGUGGAGAAGGUAUCCACUACGAGGUAAAUAGUUGCAUUCCCACUUUACAGAUGAGGAAACUAAGCUUCAACAAAUAUGAUUCCAAAAUCUAUGCUUUAUCCACCACAGUGUCUUUGCCAGGAGUGUGGAUUAUCCAGGUUUGAUUAAUGGGCAUAGGAAAAAGGAUAUAUAUGGCAAAACAGGCAAGUAUCUUGACAGUGUACGUAAGGUGCGUGUGUUCAUGCCUCUGUCUGUGUGUGUAUGUGUGUGUGUGUGUUUGUAAUCUUGCUGAGAGAAGUGUAGAUCAGCUCUCUUAUUUUUUAUCCCUUCCUUUAUCUUCUCCAUCUCUGAAAGUGGAAAGAUAGUGGAGAAAUUAGAAGACUCGGGACUUGAGACCAGCCUGUGCUGCGAGUACCAGGAUGAACUCUGACAAACUGAGUAUGAAACAAGACCCAUCAAGCUGAAUUCUCCAAGGUUACAAAAAGCAAACACUUCUGGAUUUCCACUUCUGGCUACGGCAGACUAGUCGGUAUUGGACAAGUGCUCCUGACAAUAACAACUAAAAAGGGUUAAAUUUUAAAAAGCUGUUUAAAGGCAUUUGAGAAUUAGUGAGUGAAGACCGAAGGUCCUAUGACCCAGGAGACAAGAAAUUCACAGAGGAAAGCCUUGCUUUUAGCUCUUUUUCCUUUGGAGUCAUCAGCUAAUUUUUAAGUGGCUGCCAGGAGGCUGAGAAACUGAAUAAAUAGUCUCAUCAUGCUAGGGAGAUAAAUAAAGUGAUAGCUCAGGGCCCCUAAGAAGGAGACUUUCCUAUAGAUACCUCAGUACUGCAUCAGAACUAGAGAUGAAGGAAAAAAAAGCUUUUUUAUAGAAAAGCUCUCACAAAACUUCAAAUCCAGAUUCUAUUUAGUACAAUUAUAGGCUGGAUUCAAUUGCUCUACCCUAUCCAUCUGCCUCUCAAAAAUCAAAGUACAUCCUCUCUAGACGUAUUGAAGAUUAAUUGGAAUUGCAAAUGAUCUGUACAAUUUUCUACACGCAGCAUGCAUCAUUAUUGAAAAAUUAAUAGGCAUUCGAGUAAACAAGGCCAAAUGUACAAAAGCUCAGAAAAACAAUGGACACAAUCAAAUGCACACAGGAAGUCCCUAUGCAUAUAUUAAAAUUUAUGCACGUGGCUUUUAAAAUACCUGUGAUUUAGAGAAGGAGGUAAACCGUGAGACUCUUAGCUACAGAGAACAAACUGAGGGUUGCUGGUGGGGUGAUGGGUGGAGGAUGGGCUAAAUGGGUGAUGGGCAUUAAGGAGGGCACUUGUUGGGAUGAGCACUGGGUGUUAUAUGAACGUGAUGAAUCACUAAAUUCUAUUCCUGAAAUCAUUAUUACAGUAUAUGGUAACUAACUUGGGUUUAAUUUUUUAAAAAAAAUCUGUGAUGUAUAUGUUCAAGAAAAAUAGGGAGGAAAUGUGUGGAAUUUUAGUGGACACUUGUAAUUUAUGAACACAUAAAUCCUAGGAUUGAACAAUCAAAUAACGAAAAUGAGGGAUGUAAUAGACACACUUAUCAGCCAAGUAGACACAGCUGAAGUGAGGUCUAUGAAGCAGGAGAUAGGCCAGCGGAUCAUAUACAGCCUGAAACACAGAGACAAAAGAAGAUGAAAAUCAUAGAAAGGCUCCUAUGGGAUAAAUGGAGCCCAGUUACGAGGCCUAAUAUACAUAUAAGUGGAGUCACAGAAAGGGAUGAGAGAUAAACUAGGUCAAAAGCCGAUCUGAAAAGAAAUUGGCUGCAAAUGUCCAAAGCUGAUGAAAGAUAUGAAGCCAAACAUUCAAGAAUAGCUAUGAACUCCAAAUGGGAGAAAUUAAAAGAAAACCACACAUAGACACGUGGUAGUAUGACUGCUAAAAAUCCAUGAUAAAAAAAAAAAAGAAACAAAAGAAAAAAACCAGUCUCAAGAGCGGUCAGAGAAAAUACAAACAUUACUUUCAACAGUAAGACUGACAGCCGACUUCUUAAUAGAAGCUUAAUAGAACCCAAGGAACGGGAAUGGUCGUGGUAAACCACUGAAAGAAAAUCAGGACUAAAGAACUAAGGGCUAUAACCAGAAACAAUAAUUUUCUAGGGAUAUUAAGGCAAAUAGAGAAGGGGAUAAUGAUACCUUAUGCUGCUUUUAAGGAACCGUGUAAUAGAUUGUGAGCUCCUUGAAAGCUCUUCGUGGUAUUCUUGAGAGUGUAUCAGAACUUCAAGACUUGUGGAACAAAUGAAGAAUGUGGGGCCAUUUGGCCUUUCUACAUGUGGGUGAAGCUGAUCCGUUCUACUGCACAACUUCACUGACAGGUGGGCCCCACUACUUUCCAGUUGUGUGAUACGGAGAAAAUCAUUUAACCCCUUGUAUUAGCUUCCUGGGCUGCCCUAACAAAUUAUCACAAGCCAAGUGGCUUAAAACAGAAAUUGAUUCUCUCAGUUCUGGAGUCUAGAUGGUCAGAAUCAAGCACAUCUAGGCUCCCUCUGAAGCAUCAGGGAAGAGCCUUCUUGGACUCUGUAGUUUCUGGAGGCCGCUAGCAAUGCUUGGCAUUCCUCGACUUGUAGCUACAUCACCCCAAUUUCUACCUCCCUUUCCACAUGACCAUCUUCACUUGGUGUGGAUCUCUGUGUCUCUAAAGCUCCCUCUCCAGUUAUUGGAUUUAGAACAUCAAACAUUGGAUUUAGGGUCCACCCUAAUCAAGUAUGACUUCACCUGAACAUGAUUCUAUAUGUAAAGACUCUAUUUCCAAAAAAAAAAAAGUCACAUUCACAGGUGGGGGCU